rnacentral:rRNA from 1 species
AUGGUUCUCCUCAAAGCAGUGAUUCAAGCCCUACCAGCCUACUCUAUGAGUUGUUUCAAACUCAAUAAAGGCUUAUGCCAGAAAGUCACGGCAGUGAUGUCAAAAUUUUGGUGGGAUGAAUCUCUUGAUAAGAGGAGAAUGCACUGGCAAUCAUGGGAGAAGAUGGCUGUUUCUAAGUCAAAAGGAGGCUUGGGUUUCCGGGAUCUGGAGUUGUUUAAUGACGCGAUGCUCGCCAAACAAGCGUGGCGAUUGCUGGACAGACCGGACAGUUUAUGCGCGCGUGUUCUCAAGGGUAGAUAUUACCCAGAUGGAGAUUUCUUGCAGGCAGGUUGCCCUGCUAGCGCUUCCGCUACGUGGAAGGCGAUAAUCAUUGGCAGAGAAGUUCUCAAGAGGGGUUUGAUACGUAGAAUUGGUGACGGAACAACUACGGAAGUAUGGCAUGACAACUGGAUACAAGGAAGCAACACCUUCAAACCUGUAUGCAAUAUGGGUAGUGAUCCCAUACAUCUUGUAUCUGAUCUGAUGACGGAGGAGGGCGAGUGGAAUGAUGAAAUUAUCGAGAGAACCUUCAUUGCCCCAGAUGCAAAUGCUAUCAUGAACAUGCCAAGGCCGCGGGUAGCCAUACCUGAUUUUUGGGCAUGGGGCUAUGAGAGGUCCGGGAUCUUCACGGUUCGAUCAGCGUACAGAAUGUUGAUGGGAGAUCGGGAAGAGGUUUUGAACCAGGUUGGCAGCUCCUCCCAAGGGGAGGAGGUGUGGAAAUCAUUAUGGAGGCUGAAGGUCCAGCCCAAGAUACGAAUUUUCUGGUGGCGGGUCCUUAAAGGAUUCCUGCCGGCGAAGGAAGAGUUAGGCCGAAGACAUAUAGGGGAAGAUUAUACUUGCCCAAUGUGCGGCAAUAAGGAGGAAUCGUUGUUUCACUCUCUGGUUACAUGCAAUCAUGCCAAACUGUUUUGGAUAGAGGCAGAAGAUUUCUUCGAGUUCAAGAUACCAAAACUACAUCCAGCGACGUGGUCGCGGGAUUUGCUUGGUCCCAGUUUCAUUGGGAGAGACCGGGCGGCUGUCAUUAUAUCAGUCAUGUGGGCAAUCUGGUCAAGCAGGAACAAAUACACCCAUGAGGAAGUCAAAUAUCAGCCCGGGAGAUCGAUGGUCCUAGUGAAGGAACUCAUCCAAGCUAUGUACAUCCCGCCCAAUACAGAGGGGAGGUGUAUUAUGAAGGAGAGAUGGAAGCCACCGGGAGCUGGUUGGUUGAAGAUCAAUACGGACGCUGCGCUGGAUGGAAACGGGGUUUCCUCAGCGAUCGGACUAGUGGCACGGGGCCAUGAUGGAGAAUUGAAGCUCGCGAGAGGCCGCAAGCUGCCCGGGGUUACGGACCCGUAUUGUGCAGAGCUGCUAGCUGUGAGGGAGGCUGUGCGUCUGGCUAUGGAGAAGGGCUGGACGCGGGUGAUCAUCGAGACGGACUGCAAGACUGUUAUAAACGAGUAUAUGGCAAUGGAGUGCAGGUCGACGGGUAGCCCAAUCAUCAGCGAGAUCAAAUCCUAUCUCCAACACUUUCAGGGGUUGCAACUAAAAUUAGCUAGCAGAGAUGCCAAUGAGGUUGCUCACUGGUGCGCCAGAGAGAGUCUGGAUAGUGCUUCGAUUGUAAACUUUUUCGAUGUUUUUCCUGCUUCAUUGAUUGCCCUAGCGCAAUUGGAUGUAAACCGUCUUAUUAAUGAAUAA